rnacentral:rRNA from 1 species
AGAGUUUGAUCCUGGCUCAGGAUGAACGCUGGCGGCAUGCCUAAUACAUGCAAGUCGAACGAAGCUGAUUGGAAGCUUGCUUCUGAAAGGCUUAGUGGCGAACGGGUGAGUAACACGUAGGGAACCUGCCCAGAUCACGGGGAUAACGGUUGGAAACGACAGCUAAGACCGGAUAGGUGAUGACGAGGCAUCUUGUCAUCAUGAAAAGAGCUACGGCUCUGGAGCUGGAUGGACCUGCGGCGCAUUAGCUAGUUGGUGAGGUAACGGCCCACCAAGGCGAUGAUGCGUAGCCGGCCUGAGAGGGCGAACGGCCACAUUGGGACUGAGACACGGCCCAAACUCCUACGGGAGGCAGCAGUAGGGAAUUUUCGUCAAUGGGGGGAACCCUGAACGAGCAAUGCCGCGUGAGUGAAGAAGGUCUUCGGAUCGUAAAGCUCUGUUGUAAGAGAAAAACGGCCGCCAUAGGGAAUGAUGGCGGAGUGAUGGUAUCUUACCAGAAAGCCACGGCUAACUACGUGCCAGCAGCCGCGGUAAUACGUAGGUGGCGAGCGUUAUCCGGAAUCAUUGGGCGUAAAGGGUGCGCAGGUGGUACAUUAAGUCCGAAGUAAAAGGCAGCAGCUCAACUGCUGUUGGCUUUGGAAACUGGUGAACUGGAGUGCAGGAGAGGGCGAUGGAAUUCCAUGUGUAGCGGUAAAAUGCGUAGAUAUAUGGAGGAACACCAGUGGCGAAGGCGGUCGCCUGGCCUGCAACUGACACUGAGGCACGAAAGCGUGGGGAGCAAAUAGGAUUAGAUACCCUAGUAGUCCACGCCGUAAACGAUGAGAACUAAGUGUUGGGGAGACUCAGUGCUGCAGUUAACGCAAUAAGUUCUCCGCCUGGGGAGUAUGCACGCAAGUGUGAAACUCAAAGGAAUUGACGGGGGCCCGCACAAGCGGUGGAGUAUGUGGUUUAA